AAUUAACUCCAAGGGAACAAACUUUCUUUAUGAAAGGAUGGACAUUGGAAGAGGUAUUUGCAAGAAAUGUCUUGCAAGUGUCAAGAACACACCUUUCGAAGGUGUUGUAAAUUGUUCUUGAAUAGUUCAAAACAGUUGGUUCUUCUACUUGAAGGCUUGAUUCCGUAUUAGUAAUUAUGUUUUACAAUCGUUGUAAAAGUGUGACUAAUAAGAAGUACAAGAUAUAUGAGAGAAGAAAAAGGUGCUUCACAUUCGAAACGUGAAUAAAAUAAAGAUCUCUGCGAAAGCAGAUAGUACUUACUUCCUCAUAUGAACUACCAAAGAAAUUGGAACAACCAAAGAUUGUCUUUACAUUCCAAUUUCAAGGAACUUAAUUUCGUCACUAUAGUAGAGAUGGAUGAAUGUUUUGUUUGACAAAACAUUGUUCUUUAUUAGUCAAUGAUUGGAUUAUA
rnacentral:lncRNA from 1 species